ensembl:lncRNA
UUUUCAGCGCAGGAUUGUUUCCAUUAUGAUGACCCGGACCUUCUCUUUAUACUAGGGUGCCUGACUUCCUAAAGCCUUUCUAGCAGAAAAACCUCUCGCAGAUAUUGAAGUCAAACUCGUCCCGUGUGGACUGACUACGUAAUCCAUUAAGGAAGCAUUUCAAAGUUAAAUGUCAAAUUAGGAAUGGAAAGCUGCGCACCAAGGCGCGCGACAGGGUGCGAUCCCCGCGCGAGUCGGCUUUCCCUCUGAUCUCUGAGUGGCGCUCGGCUGAGCGCUUCUGCUCAGACGCGGGAAUCAGCCGUUGGAGUGUGGGGGCGUCUGCUGCCGGUGAACCGAAACAGGAGCAUCGGUGGAGCCGUUGAACCCGUGGAUCCCGUCAGCGCGAUGAGGGAUGGUGGCCUGAGCUCUGGUCUGACCAUGGACUGAGACAUCCUCGGCCCGAUCAGGAUGGAGUGGACGCUGUCCUCCCAGAACCAGUACUGGAGCGGUGAUGACAGACACAGUGCUGACGGGCGGAGGGACAGGCCGAAGAGCGUCGGACCCAUGACAGAUCUCUCGUGUCCCGAGGUGGAGCGCGGCUCUCCUGUACAGAUGCAGAGCCUGCGGGAGUUUGAACAGCACCAGCGGUCUAGCUCCACUGCCGUCUGCCGCAGGAGAGACAGGGGUCUGUCUCCACUGCCGUCCGCCGCAGGAGAGACAGGGGUCUGUCUCCACUGCCGUCUGCCGCAGGAGAGACAGGGGUCUGUCUCCACUGCCGUCCGCAGGAGAGACAGGGGUCCAUCUCCACUGCCGUCCGCCGCAGGAGAGACGGGGGGAUUUUAGAACUCUUUGAACUUCUAUUCACUGGAAUAUUUUUUACUAAAACAGAGCAAUUAGAAUUACUAUUUUUUACAGUCUAUUUUGGACAUAUUUUAAAUAGUAAAAACAACAAACAAAUAUAAAUGUAUAUGUAGCUUCAUGGGCAAUUAUUGUGUAUAUAUUAUUAUUUUUAUACAUUUUGGAAAAUAAAUAUAAGCAAAACCUUUAAUGUUAAUUAUUUCAUGAUCAGAUGUCAUGAAUUCUGAGUGAUAUUGUUGAGAAUAAUUUUAAUUAUUAUUAUAUUAGCUUUUAAACACAAAGACCUGAGGUGUAGAUGUUUGGACAAUCGGGAUCUUCCACUGUCAUUCCUCUCCUCGUUUAAAGCUGAUAAUGAUACCUAACAUUGAAUAAUGCUAUUGUAUUGUGUUAGGCUAAUAUUAAUUUUGGAAUAUGUCACAGAUAACUCCAGCUUGUACCGCCUGCAUAGAAAUAAAUCCAAUUACAUAACCAUUACAAAUGUCAGAAAAUAAAUCUUCUAGUUGAUUUGAUUUCCACACACUGACGACACUGCUAUUUCUGAUUGCUGUCGUGAAUGUUUAAUCCUCUUUAUGGUUCUUGUGGUGUAAGAAGCCAUGAAUCAGGGCUGGAAAACUAAAAAUAAAUGUCAUACUGACUCAGAAAUGUUACACAUCAUCCUUAAAUGCAUGUACAAUUAUGUGCUUAUUUUUAUUGCAUCAAAGCAGUUGUGAG